rnacentral:rRNA from 1 species
GAUGAACGCUGGCGGCGUGCUUAACACAUGCAAGUCGAACGAAGCACUUUAUUUGAUUUCCUUCGGGACUGAUUAUUUUGUGACUGAGUGGCGGACGGGUGAGUAACGCGUGGGUAACCUGCCUUGUACAGGGGGAUAACAGUUGGAAACGGCUGCUAAUACCGCAUAAGCGCACAGCAUCGCAUGAUGCAGUGGGAAAAACUCCGGUGGUAUAAGAUGGACCCGCGUUGGUUUAGCUAGUUGGUGAGGUAACGGCCCACCAAGGCGACGAUCCAUAGCCGACCGGAGAGGGUGACAGGCCACAUUGGGACUGAGACCCGGACCAAAAUCCUACGGGAGGCAGCAGUGGGGAAUAUUGCACGAGGGGCGAAAGCCUGAUGAAGCGACGCCGCGUGAGCGAAGAAGUAUUUCGGUAUGUAAAGCUCUAUCAGCAGGGAAGAUAAUGACGGUACCUGACUAAGAAGCACCGGCUAAAUACGUG